rnacentral:rRNA from 1 species
UACAGAGGGUGCGAGCGUUGUCCGGAAUCACUGGGCGUAAAGAGCUCGUAGGCGGUUUGUCGCGUCUGCCGUGAAAGUCCGGGGCUCAACUCCGGAUCUGCGGUGGGUACGGGCAGACUAGAGUGAUGUAGGGGAGACUGGAAUUCCUGGUGUAGCGGUGAAAUGCGCAGAUAUCAGGAGGAACACCGAUGGCGAAGGCAGGUCUCUGGGCAUUAACUGACGCUGAGGAGCGAAAGCAUGGGGAGCGAACAGG